CACGUACCAGGGCAUCCCUCCACAGCCUUCUUAUUCAUCUAAUUCCUCCUCUCUUUCUCUCUCAACCACAGAAGCAAGUUGGUGAAGGAGAGGUGGUAGAAUUGAGUUUUCUUGCUGUUGGAGCUAAGAAGAAACCCUGUGGAGAUGAAAGGAAGGUUUGUGGAGCUGAAGAAACCCUUGGGGAAACUUCAAAUCCAGUGUUGGCAGAUUUCUGAUGUAUUGGGCUUGUUGGAGCUGCCGAAUUGGAGCUUCAGCUGAGGAAGCUUGGAAUUUGAGGAAAUUCCAGUAGGGGCUGAGAAAAGUGAGAAAGUGUGAAGUUGCUACCUUGAGGAGCUCCUUGGUGUUCCGAGCUGAGAAGGACCUGGAAGGGGAGCUUCGAAUGAGGAUUGAAGUCCCGGCGGGGAAUUAGUCGUGAACAAACCUAAUUGAGGGCAAAGCGAACAUGUUGGCGAAGUCGGUUCGGCAAUCCGUCGAGCCUACGCGAAGAUAUCGCCAAAAGGACAUUUUCGGCUACAAUUGUCGCGAUCGCGGAUCGCGAUUCUUGGGAGAGUGCGGGAAGUGGAUUUCUCGCGUUCCGGUACCAAGUAAAGGUUCGCACGUGAGCGGCGCUGCGGCGCGAGGACAGGGCGUAGCUCCGUAGAUAGCGCCCUACUACAGAGACCAGAGAUAGAAGUACCCUGAAGUGGUCGAGCUCAGAGAGUAUAAAUUGAAAGAAACAAACUUGUAGUAAAUUGUGUAAGUUGUAAUUUGUGUAAGGGCUUAUGUGAUAACUGAAAAGUAUUUGUAGUAUUGUAAAAUGUAAUAAAUCUCUGAGAUGAAUACUUGUAAUGGUAUAGUGGCAUUUAUGUUUUUGAUACUCGCAA